rnacentral:rRNA from 1 species
AUGGACAUUGAGGAGGCUGAAAUCCAGCAACGGGCGCUGGAGACACAAUUGAAGGUUAUGGGUAUGACCUUUGCAUCACAAUGGGAGGCUUACACGUUCUACAGUAACUACGCCAGAGACCGUGGAUUCAGUAUCAGAAAAGAUAAGGUGAAACGAGGAAAAGGUCUUUCAACCACAUCUAUGUUUGACAGCACGUAUAAGAUGAACAUAUAUGAUAUGCCUUUCGUCCCCUUUGUUGGUGUAAAUAAUCACCGUUGCACCACAGUGUUUGGCUGUGCCAUUGUGUCGGACGAGACCGAAGCGACAUACGCAUGGCUGCUCCAGACAUUCUCGAAGGCCAAUUGUUAG